rnacentral:rRNA from 1 species
UACGUAGGGUGCAAGCGUUAAUCGGAAUUACUGGGCGUAAAGCGUGCGCAGGCGGUUUGUUAAGUCUGCUGUGAAAUCCCCGAGCUCAACCUGGGAAUUGCAGUGGAUACUGGGCGACUAGAGUGUGGUAGAGGGUAGUGGAAUUCCCGGUGUAGCAGUGAAAUGCGUAGAGAUCGGGAGGAACAUCCAUGGCGAAGGCAGCUACCUGGACCAACACUGACACUGAGGCACGAAAGCGUGGGGAGCAAACAGG